rnacentral:rRNA from 1 species
AUGCGACCCCAGGAUGGGCGAGGCCACCCGCCGAGUUU